rnacentral:rRNA from 1 species
UACGUAGGGGGCAAGCGUUGUCCGGAAUUAUUGGGCGUAAAGCGCGCGCAGGCGGCCGUUUAAGUCUGGUGUUUAAGCCCGAGGCUCAACCUCGGUACGCACGGGAAACUGGAUGGCUUGAGUGCAGGAGAGAGAAGUGGAAUUCCACGUGUAGCGGUGAAAUGCGUAGAGAUGUGGAGGAACACCAGUGGCGAAGGCGACUUCUUGGCCUGUAACUGACGCUGAGGCGCGAAAGCGUGGGGAGCAAACA